GAAAUGUACGUUGUAGAAUAUAUAUCUGCAUAACCUAUGCUCAUUUCACGUGUCCUUCCAUCCACAGCUACAGUAAUUUCAGCAGAAUCUAUGUGGUGAGUAGCGAAUGCAGAUUUUUAAUCCCCAGCUUUUAAGUCAUCUGAGGCUCUGAAAUCAGUACCAUAAGAUUAUAGUUAGAUAAGGAAAAUUGCAUGAGGUUAGGUUCACCAUUCUGGUUUGUUUUGGUAUCAGGAUGAACAGGGUUUAAUAACACAGGCCGGAAUCUCCUUGCAAUGAAAGGGGCUGGUGCAGACCCUCCCUCUGUCAAGACGUCUAGUGACACCCCAUUUCUCAGCUGAACUUGAAGAAACCCCCUUGGCAUCCCUGGGGGAAAGGGGCUGCGUGGGUCCUUCCAUGCCAGGGACCCCAGGCUCUUCUGCCUUCCGCCUUCUGCCUUUGUCAGAGAAGGAAAGUGUCUGUCCCCUGGUUUGGAGACAGCCUUCCUACGGCAAAUCUGUGCCUUGCUGGGCUGUUUGCUCCGCAGCCAGCCCCAAACAAUGCAGCGCCAACAGAUGUGUGAACUUUUCCAUUCAGUGUAAUGAAGUGUUAGUUGCAAAACAGAGUUUUGGCGAUUUGAAUUGCCUCAUGUGCAUCAGGCUGUGAAAGAGGUUUAAAAUGAAUCAUGAAUAAGUUAUAAAUAUUGUAUUUUUGGAAUUAUCAGCUCUAACAAGUCCACUGGCAAUAGGAAGUGAAGGCUUAGGCAGAAUGGGGCCUGGUGUCUCUCAUUAAAGUUACCAGUGUUUCUAGAUGAAAUUACAGCAUUGUGGUGACGUAGCACUCAGUCCACAGAAAAAGCUAAGAAGAUACUUCCAAGUUUUCAAAACUUGCUGGAAAAAAGAGAAGGCUUUUGGAUGAAAUCUGUCAUCUAACUUCUGCCAAAGAGGAGUGUUUAGAAAAUGUGCACCAUAAUAUUUCAGCACAGUGCUUGAUACGGAGUUAUUGGAUGGCUAAGGGUAGCCUUUGAGGGUAAGAAUUUUCUGUCUCUUGUUUUUUUGUUCACUGACAUAGUUAGAAAAAAUGAUUUUGACACUUCUAACUUGCUACAUGCAUGAGUUCCGGUGGAAAGGCCACUUUUGGUGCAGACUGGAAAUCCUCCUUGCUGAACUAAGGUGCGCUGAGGAGUAAAGAAACUGCAACUCCAAAUGAUAAACUACCUGUGCUGGCACUUUUCCUCUUUUCUGGAGAGAAUUGCAGUGGAAGUCUCUUGUUCAAGCCCAGUGACAGCAGCAUGGAGGAGCACUGUGGGAGUGGAGGUCAGUGUUCGUGCAUCUCAUGGGCUCAUCUGCACGGUCCUCCUUUGGUCUCGGGUGGGUGACAAAAUCCCCCGGGCGGUUGGAUGCUCAGUCACCUCAGGGUGGUAGGACUCGGUGGUGACACGGCGUCCGCGAGGAGCAAUAGUCACCCUUCCACCUACUUACAUUAACUGGCAAAGGGCCGCUUUAGAAAGUUGUUCUUAAAUAAUAACUCCGAGGUGUUUGCUGCUUAGAAGAUCAGAAACUAGACAGGUGGAUACCUGGUGGCAUUAAUGGAAGAAAAGUGCAAGCAAACAAAUGCCUCCUGGUUUCUGAUUUAUCCUCUGAGUGAGCUAUCGUGAGACAAAGCCUAAACUAGUCAUUAUUGUUGAAUAUAAACAUUUCCUACAAAUUCUUUGUUGUUUCCAAUUACAAUAUUCUUUGCUUUUUUUCAGUAGGUUUUGGUCAGUUACUGCUGAUUUUGGAAAAUUAAGAGGGGGCAGGCCAAGGCAAUGACUCAGAGAUGGAUAAGAACAUACUAUAUUGCUAAAUCUUUGGGGGAAAGAGGCUGUGUGUUUCUGGGUUUAUAAAGAAAUGGGAGAAUGGUGCCAUAAUUCCAGUUUGGAUCUUCUCACAUAGAGUGAUAUUGAUGAUGCUGAUGAGAAUAAUGUUGAGAUACAUUCCAUCUUGGCCUUUUAACAAUCUUGUUUGGAGACAUUUGGAAUCUCUUACAGAAAACACACAAACUCACUUUCCCUUACUGCAUUUAGAAAAAUUCAGAUUAAGCUUCAUUCUACAAAGGUGCUUUGCUUUAAGUAGCAGUUCUGCAAAGCAUAACUUCACAUAUUUCUUUUACCCUAUGCUUUAUUACUGAGAGUAUCUACAGGAAAACAGGGUCUUUGUUUAAAAGUUUCUGCUUCUUAUUCAUCACAGCUCAUUGGGUUGGAAGCAAUUAUGGUACCUUCUGCAGAAGGCUCCAACCCCUUCAGAGCAGGAAAAUAUGAGCAGGAAUAGACAAACUUUUAAGAAUCUAAGCUCUUGUUUUCAUGCAAAUGUCCUCAUUUCCUUAGUAAUAAAGAAAAGGGAGUAAAUACGUGACAUACAGUGGAAAAAAAAAAAGGAAUGUUUCAAAUGUGUUAACGUUUGUACUUGGGCAUCAAAUGUUUUUUAAUGUUAUAAUGAUGCCUUACAUUCAACUUUGCUUGCUUUUAUCCUGAAGGAGAAGGUAUGCACACAGGAUCUUAUUUGUGUGUGUGUGUAGGAUUUUUUAUUCUUUCUACAGGUAGUGCAUCUUUCUCAGCUAGAGCAACACCAGCUCUGAACCAACUACUGGAAUAUCACCCAGUGUGUUGUCUAAACCAAGCCAGAACUAAUCAGGCAGUGAUGAAAAUGCUAGCAGCCUACCUCUGUUAGUGUUCUCAACUUUAUUGCCACGGAGGAAGAUGUGAUAAUUGGAAGGUUUUCCAGAAAGUUCCAGAUACGGCUCUACUACCGUCAAGUCAGGCACUACUAGACAAAGCCAAUGGUGGAGUGUGGUUCUAACCAGCUGGCACUGUCCUCCUUAAAACAGGUGCAAUCUGUGGAGGAAGGAGAAAAAAAAAAGAAAGAAUUACUCAAUCUGAAAUAUUUGGCAAAAUACAACAUUAACCCCUCCCCGAUAUAAAAUACCAUCGAAAUUUUACUAUUGUAUCUGAUGUAAAAGUAAAAUCCAAAUUUUAGUUUUGCAUCAGCAGCGUGGAGUCUUCCUGCCACUUCACAUGAAGAGUUUGCUAGCUAAAGACCAAAACAGAAGAAAUGAGUGUCACCUCUCACUGCAAAUAUCACCUCUUUCAUUAUUUUAUGGGUUUCAGCUUCUUAACCUAAUUGAUCUUGCUUCACAGGGGAAAUUUGCUCAAAGCACUUCCCAAAUUUUUGCCACUGUACUUUUACUAUAAGCUACUCAUGCUCUUUAAAAUCAAACACUGUGCACAUUUUGCAGUUGUACGAGUAGGGUCCCAGAACCGUCAUUAAAAAAGUGCCCUUUCAGAAACUGUCAUUACUGGUAGCUUCUGACUUAGUGACAUUUAUGCACCGUUUCAAUAUUCUGAAUAAAGUUGUCAUCGAAACACCGA